GACGAACGCUGGCGGCGUGCUUAACACAUGCAAGUCGAACGGAAAGGCCCUGCUUUUGUGGGGUGCCCGAGUGGCGAACGGGUGAGUAACACGUGAGUAACCUGCCCUUGACUUUGGGAUAACUGCAGGAAACUGGGGCUAAUACCGGAUAGGAGCUCCUGCUGCAUGGUGGGGGUUGGAAAGUUUCGGCGGUUGGGGAUGGACUCGCGGCUUAUCAGCUUGUUGGUGGGGUAGUGGCUUACCAAGGCUUUGACGGGUAGCCGGCCUGAGAGGGUGACCGGCCACAUUGGGACUGAGAUACGGCCCAGACUCCUACGGGAGGCAGCAGUGGGGAAUAUUGCACAAUGGGCGGAAGCCUGAUGCAGCAACGCCGCGUGCGGGAUGACGGCCUUCGGGUUGUAAACCGCUUUCGCCUGUGACGAAGCGUGAGUGACGGUAAUGGGUAAAGAAGCACCGGCUAACUACGUG
rnacentral:rRNA from 1 species